GACGAACGCUGGCGGCAUGCCUAAUACAUGCAAGUCGAGCGAACAGAUGAAGUGCUUGCACUUCUGACGUUAGCGGCGAACGGGUGAGUAACACGUAAGGAAUCUACCUAUAAGCGGGGGAUAACAUUCGGAAACGGGUGCUAAUACCGCAUAAUAUCUUCUUCCGCAUGGAAGAAGAUUGAAAGACGGCUCUGCUGUCACUUAUAGAUGACCUUGCGGUGCAUUAGUUAGUUGGUGGGGUAACGGCCUACCAAGACGAUGAUGCAUAGCCGAACUGAGGGGGUGAUCGGCCACAUUGGGACUGAGACACGGCCCAAACUCCUACGGGAGGCAGCAGUAGGGAAUCUUCCGCAAUGGGCGAAAGCCUGACGGAGCAAUGCCGCGUGAGUGAAGAAGGCCUUCGGGUCGUAAAACUCUGUUAUAAGAGAAGAACAAAUUGUAGAGUAACUGCUACAGUCUUGACGGUAUCUUAUCAGAAAGCCACGGCUAACUACGUGCCAGCAGCCGCCGUAA
rnacentral:rRNA from 1 species